rnacentral:rRNA from 1 species
AAUGGGAGAAAUCCUGAAGCAGCAACGCCGCGUGAAGGAUGAAGGGCUUUUGCUUGUAAACUUCUGUAGUGAGGGAAAAAACCUCCAUUCUAUGGAGUAUGAUGGUACCUCAAAAGUAAGCCCCGGCUAACUACGUGCCAGCAGCCGCGGUAAUACGUAGGGGGCAAACGUUGUCCGGAUUUACUGGGUGUAAAGGGUGCUCAGGCGGUUUUGUAAGUCAGAAGUGAAAUCCUAGAGCUUAACUCUGGAACUGCUUUUGAUACUGCAAAGCUUGAAUGUGGAAGAGGAUGAUGGAAUUUCUGGUGUAGCAGUGAAAUGCGUAGAUAUCAGAAAGAACACCAGUGGCGAAGGCGGUCAUCUGGUCCACUAUUGACGCUAAAGCACGAAAGCGUGGGGAGCAAA